UCUCAGCUGUUUCUCGUCCUGGCGCUUUCUGUACCCGGUUACUCGCGUAGCUUCAAAAGGCCGCCGGACAUAGUGCGGAUCGACAGAAAAGGUCCCGGAGCCAUGAAGCCGCCGCUUCCCGGUCUCCCGAGCUGCCGGGCUGCCCCUCCAGCCUUUUGCGGCCGCCGGCGGCCCGGAGGAACCCCUUCGCCCGCCUGGACAACCGGCUGUGGGUAGCCGCGGAGGCCUGGGACGGGCUGCCCCGCGGCCAACAGGAGGUGCCUUGCUCGAUAGUAAUUAAGAAAAUGAUUUGCCUUGGGAAGAGACAUUAUCUGAAAGACCAACAGUUACUGAACUAGCCCAGGCUUUACACCUAUCAUUCUCUGAAUCGGAUAGUCUGUCCUCAGAAAAUACUAAGUUACCUGUGGACUGCUGAGUAUUAAAACCCAACUCCUUGUCACCUCUUCUCAACUCUUUACCUGGGCAGAUCAUUUGAAAGUGCAGGAAGAGGCUCAAGGUCUUGUCCAGCAUUGUAGAGCAACAGAAGUUACUUUGCCUCAAAGUAUAAAGGUGACACGGAAGAAUCAUUCUGUAUAAUUACUUGAAUGUAUUCUUGUAAAUUCUUAUCCAUGGAAGUGGGGUACACUUACAUUCUCAAAUAAGGAUCCCUAAACACAUUUAUGGUUCAAAUAAUCCCCAGGAGCUUUCCCUCUGAUGUUUCUUACCAUAAUAAGCAAAAAAUUCAUAGUGAUAAGUGUUGGGGUUUCCAGGACCCCCAGCCUUGGGCAUGGUCAAGAUGGCGCCUGACGCUGAGCCAAAAGCGGCCAACUAUACAGUAAACAACCAGCGAAUUCCAAUGAUUG